GUUUUAAUAGUUUAAUAAAAACAUUGGUCUUGUAAACCAAAAAUAAGAAUAACACUUUUAAAACU
rnacentral:tRNA from 1 species